rnacentral:rRNA from 1 species
AUGAGUGGAGUAGUAUUCAAAAUUGACUUUGAAAAAGCAUAUGACAAGGUCAAAUGGUCUUUCCUCCAACAAGCCCUAAGGAUGAAAGGUUUCUCCGAUAAAUGGCGCCAGUGGAUCCAAAACUUUGUAACUGGAGGUAGUGUGGCCAUCAAAGUCAAUGAUGAUGUAGGCCAUUACUUUCAGACAAAAAAAGGACUGCGACGGGGUGACUCCAUGUCCCCAAUGUUAUUUAAUAUUGUUGCUGACAUGUUAGCUAUUCUGACUGAGCGUGCUAAGCAGGAUGGCCAGAUUGCAGGAGUAGUGCCA